AGCAGCCGCGGUAAUUCCAGCUCCAAUAGCGUAUAUUAAAGUUGUUGCAGUUAAAAAGCUCGUAGUUGAAUUUCGGGAUCAAUUUAUUGGUCGUGCUAUUGUACGUACUGGUAUUAUUGAUUCCUACCUUCUGACGAACCAUGAUGUCAUUAAUUUGGUGUCAUGGGGAAUCAGGACUGUUACUUUGAAAAAAUUAGAGUGUUUAAAGCAGGCUCACGCUUGAAUACAUUAGCAUGGAAUAACGAGAUAGGACGUUUGAUUCUAUUUGUUGGUUUCUAGGAUCGACGUAAUGAUUAAUAGGGAUAGUUGGGGCAUUAGUAUUCAAUUGUCAGAGGUGAAAUUCUUGGAUUUAUUGAAGACUAACUACUGACGAAAGCAUUUGCCAAGGAUGUUUCAUUAAUCAAGAACGAAAGUUAGGGAUACGAAGACGAUCAG
rnacentral:rRNA from 1 species